UGGGGAAUCUUGCGCAAUGGGCGAAAGCCUGACGCAGCGACGCCGCGUGAGCGAUGAAGGCCUUCGGGUUGUAAAGCUCUGUGGGGAGGGACGAAUAAGUGCAGGCUAAUAUCCUGCAUGAUGACGGUACCUCCUUAGCAAGCACCGGCUAACUCUGUGCCAGCAGCCGCGGUAAGACAGAGGGUGCAAACGUUGUUCGGAAUCACUGGGCGUAAAGCGCGUGUAGGCGGCGAAGUGUGUCGGGUGUGAAAGCCCACGGCUCAACCGUGGAAGUGCAUUCGAAACUGCUUUGCUAGAGUCCUGGAGAGGAAGGUGGAAUACUCGGUGUAGAGGUGAAAUUCGUAGAUAUCGAGUGGAACACCGGUGGCGAAGGCGGCCUUCUGGAAAGUGACUGACGCUGAGACGCGAAAGCGUGGGGAGCAAACAGG
rnacentral:rRNA from 1 species